rnacentral:rRNA from 1 species
GACGAACCGUGCGAACGUUGUUCGGAAUUACUGGGCGUAAAGCGCACGUAGGCGGCUUUGUAAGUUAGAGGUGAAAGCCUGGAGCUCAACUCCAGAACUGCCUUUAAGACUGCAUCGCUCGAAUCCAGGAGAGGUGAGUGGAAUUCCGAGUGUAGAGGUGAAAUUCGUAGAUAUUCGGAAGAACACCAGUGGCGAAGGCGGCUCACUGGACUGGUAUUGACGCUGAGGUGCGAAAGCGUGGGGAGCAAACAGG